CGAGAAACUCUAUGAACAGGAGUGAACAAUUCCUGUUUUUCUGAUUCUCCUUUCCCACCAAAGAUUCCUAACUUUCAACACAGUUGCUGAAGCUUAGGUGUAUGGUCAACUAAACAAUCCAAAAACCAUGUAGCUCCACAAUAAUCAGAAAUUCUGGAUCCAGUAAAACAAGUCUCCUUUAAGACAUGGCUGAAUGCUGGAAGAAAGUAAAGAAAGUUCCUGGAGUCAAAGAUGAAGUGAGAAGGAAAAAUCAGAGCAGUGAGUACGUGCAUGUAUGCUAGAGCCACUCAGGGUGGGAGUUGCCUGGCUUGGCCACCUAGAGGCUUGGAUUAGAAUGCUCAGGCCAGGGCAGAAUGUGAGGCCUGGAGAUACAGAAUGCUGGGUGUUGGAACUGCAACCCCUGCAGAAAUCCUGGUCUUCAGAAGGGCUAUACUCAGAGUGAGGGAAUGAAUCAGGAAAUGCACCCAUCGGCUCAGGGAGACAAUAAAGGUGAUUUUCUAUCUCAGUGGUCUGGGCUCUAGGGGAAAAGUUUCCCUUGAGAGUUUGUAAUCAUGGGUCUGUCAUUCCAUUGGUUCUGAAAACCUCUAAACUGAGAAAUAAACAUAAACUGA
rnacentral:lncRNA from 1 species